rfam:Mesocricetus auratus contig123158, whole genome shotgun sequence.
AGAUGUGAGCGUGAUCUGGCUGUGACAUCUGUCACCCCAUUGAUCACCAGGGUUGAUUCGGCUGCUCUGGCUGGCUAGAUGGGUGUCCCCUUCCUCCCUCACCACUCCAUGUAUGUCCCAUCCCGAAGCUGUGCUCAGUCAAAGAGGAUGACCUUCCCAGAAUAGACAAGGAUGAGUCUUCGGUCAAGGGUAUACGAGUAGCUGCACUCCUCUUCUAGAACCUCCAAACAAGCUCUCAGGAAGACAGAGGGCUGUAGACAUGCCUGUACUGGAUGCUGCUGUGCCUAAUCUCAUAGAACAAACACUAGGGGACACAAGCAACAGAGCAGCCUAGUCACAAAC